GAGUACCCCAUUUGCAACAGGAUGAGGAGUCUCUGACCUCCCACCUGGGCUCCUUGGCAUCUGCACUUCUGAAAGUGGUCAGUGCAGUCCAACACCAGACCUGAGGAGAUCCUGAAUAGGAGAAGUUUUAUUAAGAGCCCAAUGUGUAUACAAAGAAAUCAAGUGGACCGGAAGAAAAGAUACUCAACAGGAGACCAGUGGAUGGUGUUUCUUCCUGAAUAAAGGACCUGUACUCCCUUCCUUUAUCAGAGGACAGAUGAUCACCAGACUCUACCCGGCUACCCAGCUGCAGGCAUCUAUAACUGCUGAGUGACUCAGGUCCAGAUAUUAUUCCCAGAUUGAAGUAUCCCCUCUCUCUGGGGUCCAACAGUAGCCUGGUCUUCCUUGCCAACAUUUUCCUAAAUCUGGCUAAGGUCCUAAAUAUUGAUUGGAAACUACAUAUAGGACACAAAGCUCAGGGAAGACAGGAAGGUUAAAUAGAAAGGAAACCUUUUCUAUGCAUGUCCUUGAGACUGGUGAAUACUGGACCAAUUCUGUGUCUUUUUCUGUCCUACGGGAGAGAUGAAUUUUGUAUUAUGAAGCUCCUAAGACAGAAAUGACUAAUCAUUCUUUCCCUAUGUCCUAGCAGCUCCUGCGACAGUGACAGGGAAUAUUCAUCAGACAGUUUGUGAGGCUGCAUGUUUGUCUGGAACCUUCCCACAAGUUCCAGCCUGGCAACCUUGUGUGGAUAAAGAGAUCCUGAUAGGGACCCUUGAGCAAAUACGAAAAAUUCCAUACCCUGUGGUCCUCACACUGGUACAGCAUCACUGGUGUACCCCCUGCACACAGCACACCCAGCAUAGGUAGGCUAUACAUCAUAAGGAUAGAGGGGUCAUCACCAGGUCCUCUGACUCCCUAAAGACAAGACUGACAUGGGCCCUAUAAUUACAGUUGGUCUAGUUUCUCUUUUUUUUUUUUUUGUCAUCAGUGAAAGUGCCCCAACCCUUCUUAAGCCAGAAACUUAUAGGGAUUAAGGAUGACUGGAACCAGGCAACUCAUAGACAGUGUAUCCACUGAGACCCAACCACCCACUGUCCUGAUGGAGUUUUGUAAAAUAUUUCACCUAGAUGCUAUUGGGAGAUGGUUUGCUUCGUCAUGAAAAGCAACGACUCCCCAGCGACUGUGG